UAAGCCCAGCAAGAGUUAUUACAGUAACUGUUAACAUGCUGUCUGUCAGUGAAAAUGCUCUGAGAUCAUCAGCUCUGCAAAUGACCAGAAAUGACUGACUUUAAAGAAGACUGCUCAGAUACAAAAGAUUAUCUCACUAAUGCAGCCCUAAGGUGAACUAAUUUACUUCACUUCUUGCCAUUUGGGACUUCACUGCAGCAGCACUGACUCUGGAGCAAGAAACUUUUCGAACUUUCCAUGAUUUCAAACCUUUACCUUGUUCCACUCCUCCUUUCAGCUGACAUCUACGUUCAGUGCUUUUAAACACAUGGAAAACUUUAGUGAAAUGAGUGAAUCAGACAAAACCCAAUGAGAUUUCCUAGCCAACACGAAUUGAAAACCUUA